rnacentral:rRNA from 1 species
GAUGAACGCUGGCGGCGUGCCUAAUACAUGCAAGUCGAGCGAACUGAUUAGAAGCUUGCUUCUAUGACGUUAGCGGCGGACGGGUGAGUAACACGUGGGCAACCUGCCUGCAAGACUGGGAUAACUUCGGGAAACCGAAGCUAAUACCGGAUAGGAUCUUCUCCUUCAUGGGAGAUGAUUGAAAGAUGGUUUCGGCUAUCACUUACAGAUGGGCCCGCGGUGCAUUAGCUAGUUGGUGAGGUAACGGCUCACCAAGGCAACGAUGCAUAGCCGACGUGAGAGGAUGAUCGGCCACACUGGGACUGAGACAAGGCCCAGACUUCUACGGGCGGGAGCAGUAGGGAAUUUUCCGCAAUGGGCGAAAGUCUGGCGGAGCAACGCCGCGUGAGUGAUGAAGGCUUUCGGGUCGUAAAGCUCUGUUGUCAGAGAAGAACAAGUACCGGAGUAACUGCCGGUACCUUGACGGUACCUGACCAGAAAGCCACGGCUAACUACGUGCCAGCCGCCGCCGUAAGAC